rnacentral:rRNA from 1 species
GACGAACGCUGGCGGCGCGCCUAACACAUGCAAGUCGAACGGGGUCUAUCAGAAAGCUUGCUUUCAGGCAGAUCUAGUGGCGGACGGGUGAGUAACACGUGAGCAACCUGCCCUUCAGAGGGGGAUAACGUCCGGAAACGGACGCUAAUACCGCAUAACAUCGCGAGAUGGCAUCAUCUUGCGAGCAAAGGAGAAAUCCGCUGAGGGAUGGGCUCGCGCCCGAUUAGGUAGUUGGUGGGGUAACGGCCCACCAAGCCCGCGAUCGGUAGCCGGACUGAGAGGUUGAACGGCCACAUUGGGACUGAGACACGGCCCAGACUCCUACGGGAGGCAGCAGUGGGGAAUAUUGCACAAUGGGGGAAACCCUGAUGCAGCGACGCCGCGUGAGUGAAGACGGCCUUCGGGUUGUAAAGCUCUGUUGUGGGGGACGAUAAUGACGGUACCCCAUCAGAAAGCCACGGCUAACUACGUGCCAGCAGCCGCCGUAACAC